AGCUCAAUGAUUACAUGCCCACAGGCAAUAUACACUAUUCUCAAUUUCUCAUUGGUAUAUUAUCAAAUGGAAACAUAAAAUGUAUAUGAGAGCU